GUCUUUGUAGUAUAAUAAUUACUCUGGUCUUGUAAACCAGCAAUGGAGGCCUCAAAUCUCCCCAAGACA
rnacentral:tRNA from 1 species